rnacentral:rRNA from 1 species
GCCUACGGGGGGCAGCAGUGGGGAAUAUUGCGCAAUGGGGGAAACCCUGACGCAGCAACGCCGCGUGAAGGAUGAAGGUUUUCGGAUUGUAAACUUCUUUGAUGAGGGACGAAAAAAAUGACGGUACCUCAAAAACAAGCCACGGCUAACUACGUGCCAGCAGCCGCGGUAAUACGUAGGUGGCGAGCGUUGUCCGGAAUUACUGGGUGUAAAGGGCGUGUAGGCGGGGAGACAAGUCAGAUGUGAAAUACCGAGGCUUAACUUCGGGGCUGCAUCUGAAACUGUUUUUCUUGAGUGUCGGAGAGGAAAGUGGAAUUCCCAGUGUAGCGGUGAAAUGCGUAGAUAUUGGGAGGAACACCAGUGGCGAAGGCGACUUUCUGGACGACAACUGACGCUGAGGCGCGAAAGCGUGGGGAGCAAACAGGAUUAGAUACCCUGGUAGG